UCCGAAUCGUGUGAUGCGUCCGAUCAGCUGCGUUUUUGGGGAUAAAAUAAGAGCGAUGACAUGACAGUACUCAUCGCUCUUAUUUUAUCCCCAAAAAUAUAUAAUAAUAAUAAUAAUUAUCACACCGUUGGUCUCCCACUAUAUGCGCUGUCAUCAGCACAAAUGAUCUGUCCCUAAAAGUUAAAAUCCACCAUCCCCCCUGGCUUUUUUUUAUAACUCGACCACUGCAUACGCACAUACACACGUAAACAAACACACACACACGCGCACACACACACACACACACGCACACAAGCACGCACGCACGCACGCACGCACGCACGCACGCACGCACGCACGCACGCACGCACGCACGCACGCACGCACGCACGCACGCACGCACACACACACACACACACACACACACACACACACACACACACACACACACACACACACACACACACACACACACACACACACACACACACACACACACACGUACACUCCCCUCCUGGGCUUCGUACAGCUUGUUUCAACAGAAUAAAGAACAUCCAAAACAUUUUUUGCCAUUUUUGUUUCAGACUGAUACUAUAUUGGUAGAUAUUGACACCGGUGAUGGUGUUUAUUUGGUUCUACUUUUCAUACUUUACAUGGUUGGAAAGCUGUGCAGCAUUUUAGCAGGAGAUUAGCAUGAUUUUGAUAUUAGUGGAUGUCACUGCUUUCGUUUAUUAAUUGCAGUUAAGCUGUUAUUGUUUGCAGGUAUUAUAUUUAUCAUUGUCAGCAAUUUUUUCACUAAAAGGCAUCAAAAUAAGGAGUUAAGAAAAAAUGCUGAGAGGUUAGCUUUAGCAAGAGUUUGGAGGGAGAUACAGGACCUAAUUAUUAAAAGCCUAACUGAAAUCAAAGAAACAGGUUGUGACAAAACCAGAAUUGUCAAUGAUGAAUUUAUUUUUUGAAGACGAUCUGUGUUUCUUUCGACCAAUUUUUCUUUCAACCAAUUUUUAUAAUUAGGUCCCAUAUCUCACUCCAUACUAGGGGUUAGGGUACUAGCAUGGUAGCGAGCCAGUGAAAGGUUAGCAAGCUAGCGAGCUGGCAUGGUAGUGAGCUAGGCUGUUAGUGAGAGGUUAGCGAGUGAGCAUGGUAGAAAGCUAGAAAGAGGUUAGCAUUGUAUCAGGCUAACGUGUUAGCGCGUCAGAGAGAGGACUGCGGGAGAGGGCUGCUUGCAAUGGGGAACACGUAUGAAGCGCUUGUGGAAUGGAUUAGACUCUGCGCCGCGGGAUAAGCUAUGAUUCGAUACCCUCAGAAACCUAUUGAGUCAUACGCUGCACGUCAAAGCCCCUCUUAUACACAGAUAUACCUUUAUCUAGAUGUGUCCGCGAGACGGGAGGGGAGAGAAAGAGAGGGAGAGGGAGAGAGAGAUACUAAUGGAGACGGAGAGUGGGGGAGGGAGCGCCGGAGAGAGAGGUUCUAUGUCAGCAUGUUCUAUGUCAGCACGGUCCUCACAGUGUUCAAAGCUGUACCCCGAUAGGACCGUGAGCGGGAAGGGCGGGGAUUCUGGCUGUCACUCAACCGUCAGAGUGCAGUUAUUAAGGAGUCCUGAGAGAUGUCACUCAGAGCCUGGGCGGCUGGCCUGUCAGUUGCUAGUGCCUGCUAGGUAGCCAGCAUACCUAGCCCUGUCACUCAUCUGAUGUGUAUGGGUAGUGGGAGCAAGAGGGCAAAAUACUACUGAGCUGAUAUUUGAUACGAACGGUGUAGGAGCCAUAUAAGAUCUUUUAAAUAUGUGUAAUGGUAAUGGUAAAACUUCCAGCAUUUUGGGCCUUUUUAACAAUGGCACCUGUGCGAGGGACAAUGGCCCCAAGACAACCAUCCAUCAAUUUCUCAACCCAAUCCUCAACACUUUGAACCUGUUUACUAGCGUAACUCUUUUGCCUCAUCAUUUACUUCUUCAGUCUUCCUUAACUCUUCUGGAACCCCGACCACACACGGCUAGUAAACGCAACCGCUCCUCAAAGGGGAUGUUUCCGGUGACACAGGGCGUCAUGGCGUCACAGUGCAUGGUUAACUUUGGGAGGUAUUGGCAGCGGGCGUUGCCUCAGACAAGCGGUACAGUGGAUUGAUGUUAUCCAAUAAGAGCAGGCUUAGACAGCCAUAGAAACUCAGAUCGCUUACUGUCUAUUCAUCAUAACGGAAAUACAGACCCACACUCUGGAGGACACUAAGGAUUUCCGCUUCAUAAUUUAUACAGUACAAUAUUCAUGUUCCACAGAUGUACAGUGCAUAUUCGCCCGUCAUGGCUGGUAAAUAAUCAAUGUCUCCGCAGUGUUUUCUGUGUUUGUCGAGGUCCACAGGGGAAACUUUAUCCUGCUGUGUCGGCUCCCUGUGUGUCUCUGCAUCAUGUGACCACACACACAUACACACACACACACACACACACACACACACACACACACACACACACACACACACACACACACACACACACACACACACACACACACACACACACACACACACACACACACACACACACACAUACAC